AUUGAACGCUGGCGGCAUGCCUUACACAUGCAAGUCGAACGGCAGCACGGGAGCAAUCCUGGUGGCGAGUGGCGAACGGGUGAGUAAUAUAUCGGAACGUGCCCAGUCGUGGGGAUAACGUAGCGAAAGCUACGCUAAUACCGCAUACGAUCUAUGGAUGAAAGCGGGGGAUCGCAAGACCUCGCGCGAUUGGAGCGGCCGAUAUCAGAUUAGGUAGUUGGUGAGGUAAAGGCUCACCAAGCCGACGAUCUGUAGCUGGUCUGAGAGGACGACCAGCCACACUGGGACUGAGACACGGCCCAGACUCCUACGGGAGGCAGCAGUGGGGAAUUUUUGGGACAAUGGGCGCAAGCCUGAUCCAGCAAUGCCGCGUGCAGGAUGAAGGCCUGGUU
rnacentral:rRNA from 1 species